rnacentral:rRNA from 1 species
GACGAACGCUGGCGGCGUGCCUAAUACAUGCAAGUAGAACGCACAGUUUAUACCGUAGCUUGCUCCACCAUAGACUGUGAGUUGCGAACGGGUGAGUAACGCGUAGGUAACCUGCCUGGUAGCGGGGGAUAACUAUUGGAAACGAUAGCUAAUACCGCAUAAUAUUGAUUAUUGCAUGAUAAUUAAUUGAAAGUUGCAAUUGCACCACUACCAGAUGGACCUGCGUUGUAUUAGCUAGUAGGGGAGGUAACGGCUCACCUAGACGACGAUACAUAGACGACUAGCGAGGCGGAUCGGCCAAGCUGGGCCGGAGAGACGGCCAAGCACACUACGGGAGGGAGACGGACCGGACUUUCGGCAAUGGCAGAAAGUCUGAACGAGGGACGCCGCGCGAGUGCCGAAGGCUGUCGGGUCGUGAAGCUCAGUUGUAAGUGAAGAACGGGAGUGAGAGUGGAAAGUUCACACUGUGACGGUACCUGAAGAGAAAGCGACGGCUAACUACGUG